CGUAAGCCAGGUCGGUUUCUAUCUUUAUUUAAUUAAAAUAUUUUAGUACGAAAGGACCAGAUAUUUGAUAUAUUUAUAUUUAUAUUUUUGAAUAUUAUUA
rnacentral:rRNA from 1 species